rnacentral:rRNA from 1 species
AUUGAACGCUGGCGGAAUGCUUUACACAUGCAAGUCGAGCGGCAGCGCGGGGGCAACCCUGGCGGCGAGCGGCGAACGGGUGAGUAAUACAUCGGAACGUGUCCUUCAAGUGGGGGAUAGCUCGGCGAAAGCCGGAUUAAUACCGCAUAAGCUCUGAGGAGGAAAGCGGGGGACGUGGUAACGGCCUCGCGCUGUUGGAGCGGCCGAUGUCGGAUUAGCUAGUUGGUGGGGUAAAGGCCCACCAAGGCGACGAUCCGUAGCUGGUCUGAGAGGAUGAUCAGCCACACUGGAACUGAGACACGGUCCAGACUCCUACGGGAGGCAGCAGUGGGGAAUAUUGGACAAUGGGCGAAAGCCUGAUCCAGCGAUGCCGCGUGUGUGAAGAA